CCCUAGUAACUGCGAGUGAAGCGGGAAAAGCUCAAAUUUGAAAUCUGGCAGUCUUUUUUUUCUUCUUUGGCUGUCCGAGUUGUAAUCUAGAGAAGUGCUUACCUGCACUGGACCAUGUAUAAGUCUCCUGGAAUGGAGCGUCACAGAGGGUGAGAAUCCUGUCUUUGACAUGGACUGCCAGUGUGUUGUGGUGUGCUCUCAAAGAGUCGAGUUGUUUGGGAAUGCAGCUCUAAAUGGGUGGUAAACUCCAUCUAAAGCUAAAUAUUGGCGAGAGACCGAUAGUGAACAAGUACCGUGAGGGAAAGAUGAAAAGGACUUUGGAAAGAGAGUUAAACAGUAUGUGAAAUUGUUGAAAGGGAAACGCUUGAAGUCAGUUAUGUUGGCUAGGGAUCAACUUAGCUAUUUUUGCUGGGUGAAUUUCCUAGUUUGACAGGCCAACAUCAGUCUUGACUGCUGGAAAAGAGCAGGGGGAAUGUGGCACCUUUGGGUGUGUUAUAGCCCUUUGUCAUAUGUGGCAGUUGGGACUGAGGGAUGCAGCGUGCUGUGAAAGUGGGGUUUAUGACCACGUUCACGCUUAGGAUGUUGGCUUUUAAUGGCUUUAAUCGACCCGUCUUGAAACACGGACCAAGGAGUCUAACAUGCCUGCGAGUGUUUGGGUGGGGAAAACCCUUGUGCACAAUGAAAGUGAAAGUUGAGAUCCCUGUCAUGGGGAGCAUCGACGCCCGGACCUGAGCUUUUAGCGAUGGAUCCGCGGUAGAGCAUGCAUGUUGGGACCCGAAAGAUGGUGAACUAUGCCUGAAUAGGGCAAAGCCAGAGGAAACUCUGGUGGAGGCUCGUAGCGAUUCUGACGUGCAAAUCGAUCGUCAAAUUUGGGUAUAGGGGCGAAAG
rnacentral:rRNA from 1 species